rnacentral:rRNA from 2 species
UCGCUAGUAAUCGCGAAUCAGAAUGUCGCGGUGAAUACGUUCCCGGGUCUUGUACACACCGCCCGUCACACCAUGGGAGUUGGUAACGCCCGAAGUCAGUGACCCAACCUUUCAGGAGGGAGCUGCCGAAGGCGGGACUGAUAACUGGGGUGAAGUCGUAACAAGGUAGCCGUAUCGGAAGGUGCGGCUGGAUCACCUCCUUUCUAAGGAA